AUGAACGCUGGCGGCGUGCCUAAUACAUGCAAGUCGAGCGAACAGACGAGGAGCUUGCUCCUCUGACGUUAGCGGCGGACGGGUGAGUAACACGUGGAUAACCUACCUAUAAGACUGGGAUAACUUCGGGAAACCGGAGCUAAUACCGGAUAAUAUAUUGAACCGCAUGGUUCAAUAGUGAAAGACGGUUUUGCUGUCACUUAUAGAUGGAUCCGCGCCGCAUUAGCUAGUUGGUAAGGUAACGGCUUACCAAGGCAACGAUGCGUAGCCGACCUGAGAGGGUGAUYGGCCACACUGGAACUGAGACACGGUCCAGACUCCUACGGGAGGCAGCAGUAGGGAAUCUUCCGCAAUGGGCGAAAGCCUGACGGAGCAACGCCGCGUGAGUGAUGAAGGUCUUCGGAUCGUAAAACUCUGUUAUUAGGGAAGAACAAAUGUGUAAGUAACUAUGCACGUCUUGACGGUACCUAAUCAGAAAGCCACGGCUAACUAC
rnacentral:rRNA from 1 species